rnacentral:rRNA from 1 species
AUACGGAGGGUGCAAGCGUUACUCGGAAUCACUGGGCGUAAAGGACGCGUAGGCGGGUUGGUAAGUCAGGUGUGAAAUCCUACAGCUUAACUGUAGAACUGCACUUGAAACUACCAACCUAGAGUAUGGGAGGGGGAGAUGGAAUUAGUGGUGUAGGGGUAAAAUCCGUAGAUAUCACUAGGAAUACCGAAAGCGAAGGCGAUCUCCUGGAACAUAACUGACGCUAAGGCGUGAAAGCGUGGGGAGCAAACGGGAUUAGAAACCCCGGUAGUCC